rnacentral:rRNA from 1 species
AUUGAACGCUGGCGGAAUGCUUUACACAUGCAAGUCGAACGGCAGCACGGACUUCGGUCUGGUGGCGAGUGGCGAACGGGUGAGUAAUAUAUCGGAACGGUGCCCAGUCGUGGGGGAUAACGUAGCGAAAGUUACGCUAAUACCGCAUACGAUCUAAGGAUGAAAGCGGGGGAUCGCAAGACCUCGCGCGAUUGGAGCGGCCGAUAUCAGAUUAGGUAGUUGGUGGGGGUAAAGGCUCACCAAGCCAACGAUCUGUAGCUGGUCUGAGAGGACGACCAGCCACACUGGAACUGAGACACGGUCCAGACUCCUACGGGAGGCAGCAGUGGGGAAUUUUUGGGACAAUGGACGCAAGUCUGAUCC